UACGUAGGGUGCGAGCGUUAAUCGGAAUUACUGGGCGUAAAGCGCGCGUAGGCGGAUCUGCAAGUCGGGGGUGAAAUCCCGAGGCUCAACCUCGGAACUGCCUUCGAUACUGCGGGUCUCGAGUCCGGGAGAGGUGAGUGGAAUUCCUAGUGUAGAGGUGAAAUUCGUAGAUAUUAGGAAGAACACCAGUGGCGAAGGCGGCUCACUGGCCCGGUACUGACGCUGAGGCGCGAAAGCGUGGGGAGCAAACAGG
rnacentral:rRNA from 1 species